rnacentral:tRNA from 1 species
GAGGGCGUAGCUCAGCGGUAGAGCGCGUGCUUAGCAUGCACGAGGUCCUGGGUUCCAUCCCCCGGCACUGCCU